GCGUUGUUCGGAAUUACUGGGCGUAAAGCGCACGUAGGCGGAUAUUUAAGUCAGGGGUGAAAUCCCAGAGCUCAACUCUGGAACUGCCUUUGAUACUGGGUAUCUUGAGUAUGGAAGAGGUAAGUGGAAUUCCGAGUGUAGAGGUGAAAUUCGUAGAUAUUCGGAGGAACACCAGUGGCGAAGGCGGCUUACUGGUCCAUUACUGACGCUGAGGUGCGAAAGCGUG
rnacentral:rRNA from 1 species